AUUUAGGAAUUCCGAGCGGGUUAUCUUCGUCGCAAUUUUCGUAGUCCACAUCCUCGUCCUCCAGAGGUUCGAGGGUGAAACAAGCAUUGCACGAGGAGAAGAGGAGCAGCUGGACGUGAAGACAUUCCACGGACGCGCGAGGGAUGAGAGGAAGGCAUGCACGAAGGAGGGAGGAAGUGGUGCCAUCAGAGAUGAAGAAAAUCGGAUUCAAAAUCAAAGUCAAAGUCAGUUCUGAUUCGGUUUGGACAGACAAAAGUUCUGAUUUUGAAACGGAUGUGGUUUCUUCAUACGAACUCCAAAUUAGGCACAUAAGGACUCAUUGGAAAGAUAAUUUCAUGUCCUUUCCAAUGAGUAGGUCCACACAUAC